GACGGUAACUGAAGAAAAAGCAUCGGCUAACUCCGUGCCAGCGGCCGCGGUAAUACGGAGGAUGCAAGCGUUAUCCGGAAUCAUUGGGCGUAAAGGGUCCGCAGGUGGCGAAUAAAGUCUGCUGUUAAAGACCGGGGCUAAACUCCGGAAAGGCAGUGGAAACUGAUUAGCUAGAGUACGGUAGGGGUAGAGGGAAUUCCCAGUGUAGCGGUGAAAUGCGUAGAUAUUGGGAAGAACACCGGUGGCGAAAGCGCUCUACUAGGCCGAAACUGACACUGAGGGACGAAAGCUAGGGUAGCGAAAGGGAUUAGAUACCCCUGUAGUCUUAGCGGUAAACGAUGGAUACUAGGUGUAGCUUGUAUCGACCCGAGCUGUGCCGAAGCUAACGCGAUAAGUAUCCCGCCUGGGGAGUACGCACGCAAGUGUGAAACUCAAAGGAAUUGACGGGGGCCCGCACAAGCGGUGGAGUAUGUGGUUUAAUUCGAUGCAACGCGAAGAACCUUACCAGGGCUUGACAUGUCGCGAAUCUAGCGGAAACGUUAGAGUGCCUUAGGGAAUGCGAACACAGGUGGUGCAUGGCUGUCGUCAGCUCGUGUCGUGAGAUGUUGGGUUAAGUCCCGCAACGAGCGCAACCCUCGUCCUUAGUUGCCAAUAUUAAGUUAGGCACUCUAGGGAGACUGCCGGGGACAACUCGGAGGAAGGUGGGGAUGACGUCAAGUCAGCAUGCCCCUUACGUCCUGGGCGACACACGUACUACAAUGGUUGGGACAAAGGGCAGCAAACUCGCGAGAGUAAGCGAAUCUCAUCAAACCCAGCCACAGUUCAGAUUGCAGGCUGCAACUCGCCUGCAUGAAGUAGGAAUCGCUAGUAAUCGCAGGUCAGCAUACUGCGGUGAAUUCGUUCCCGGGCCUUGUACACACCGCCCGUCACACCAUGGAAGCUGGCUACGCCCGAAGUCGUUACCCUAACCCGGUUUUGGGAGGGGGAUGCCGAAGGUAGAGCUAGUGACUGGGGUGAAGUCGUAACAAGGUAGCCGUACCGGAAGGUGUGGCUGGAUCACCUCCUUUACAGGGAGACCUAGUCUAAUUACCAAUAGAUAAAAAAGUUGGUAAUUCGCAAGAAUCCUUAGGUCGUGAGGGGAGCAAGAAAAAACUUUCAAACUGUAAUGGGUGAGGGUCAAUGGGCUAUUAGCUCAGGUGGUUAGAGCGCACCCCUGAUAAGGGUGAGGUCCCUGGUUCAAGUCCAGGAUGGCCCACCUAAAAUACACAGGCAUCCUGCCUGUGCCACAAAAAAAGGAAAAAGUUUUGGCAUUGUCUCUUGUAAUCAAGAGCAAGAGAUAAUGCUGGAAUAGAUUCCAGCAAG
rnacentral:misc_RNA from 1 species